ACCAUGCAGUCGAGCGGUAGAGAGAAGCUUGCUUCUCUUGAGAGCGGCGGACGGGUGAGUAAAGCCUAGGAAUCUGCCUGGUAGUGGGGGAUAACGUCCGGAAACGGACGCUAAUACCGCAUACGUCCUACGGGAGAAAGCAGGGGACCUUCGGGCCUUGCGCUAUCAGAUGAGCCUAGGUCGGAUUAGCUAGUUGGUGGGGUAAUGGCUCACCAAGGCGACGAUCCGUAACUGGUCUGAGAGGAUGAUCAGUCACACUGGAACUGAGACACGGUCCAGACUCCUACGGGAGGCAGCAGUGGGGAAUAUUGGACAAUGGGCGAAAGCCUGAUCCAGCCAUGCCGCGUGUGUGAAGAAGGUCUUCGGAUUGUAAAGCACUUUAAGUUGGGAGGAAGGGCAGUAAAUUAAUACUUUGCUGUUUUGACGUUACCGACAGAAUAAGCACCGGCUAACUCUGUGCCAGCAGCCGCGGUAAUACAGAGGGUGCAAGCGUUAAUCGGAAUUACUGGGCGUAAAGCGCGCGUAGGUGGUUCGUUAAGUUGGAUGUGAAAUCCCCGGGCUCAACCUGGGAACUGCAUUCAAAACUGACGAGCUAGAGUAUGGUAGAGGGUGGUGGAAUUUCCUGUGUAGCGGUGAAAUGCGUAGAUAUAGGAAGGAACACCAGUGGCGAAGGCGACCACCUGGACUGAUACUGACACUGAGGUGCGAAAGCGUGGGGAGCAAACAGGAUUAGAUACCCUGGUAGUCCACGCCGUAAACGAUGUCAACUAGCCGUUGGGAGCCUUGAGCUCUUAGUGGCGCAGCUAACGCAUUAAGUUGACCGCCUGGGGAGUACGGGCCGCAAGGUUAAAACUCAAAUGAAUUGACGGGGGCCCGCACAAGCGGUGGAGCAUGUGGUUUAAUUCGAGCACGCGAAGAACCUUACCAGGCCUUGACAUCAUGAACUUUCUAGAAGAUAGAUGUGCUUCGGGAACAUGAGACAGGUGCUGCAUGCUGUCGUCAGCUCGUU
rnacentral:rRNA from 1 species